rnacentral:lncRNA from 1 species
AUCAAUGUAAUAUCUGUAUUAAUUUUAAUGCUUACUUUUUCAACACAAGCAUAUCAAAACUAGGUGACCGACUAACACUGGUCAUUCAGAUGACCCACUCGUCUCCACUAUAAUUGACUUAAUACUUUAAUUAUAUAUGUAAAUUCACACUAAAUGAACUUUUGACAAUCAACAUUCUAAUGGUCACGUUUAAGCUUUGUAAAUGUCCUACAGUAUGGUUACAUUUGCCAAACUUGACAAUGGAUAUUCGUUGUCUUUUCUAUGCUGUCACUGAUAUACAUGCACAAAGGAGUUAAUAACCAUUUUCACAAUGCUGAAUCCUUGUACUGUCUUUGUUUAAAGUACUUUCAAAUUUGACUUCAAAACCGUUAUUACUUCAUUUGAACUCUCGUAGAUAUUAGUCUUAUUGGCAAGCAUACCACAUCUUCUUUUUUUUAUAUAAACAGUAGUUCAAAUCAAGAACAAAAUGUUACGUAUAGGUCUUUUUUUUCCCACGCCACAAAAACAAUUACAUAGAAAAAUUUGUUUCUAUUUAUAUAUGCGUUUUAGGUGCAUUUCCUCCAACUUCCCUUCAUACAAAUAUGCUAUUGUUGUUUUUAAUAACAACAAUCCUUUUUUAUGUCUUGCGAUAAAUUUCAGUAACACCAUAAACUACAAAUAGAUCGGGGUUGCUGUCAUGCAUGUGCUCCGGAAGGUCUGCAGUUGGUCCUUCACAAGCAACAUCCGUUGUUCUACUACCCGAUAGUGAGAGGUACCUGUUGAGCAAAUGUAUUCAGAGAUUUUGGCUAAUAUUAUUCUUUCUUUUACUAGCUGUGAGAAGUAUUGUGUAAUGUUAAUCAAAAGGAUCAGAAACGUCAGUAAAGUCUUAUAUGGUUGAAGACCCUCCCAUAUUUGCAAAGAUAAAGAACAGCAACUACAGCUUUAUGUCAUGAAUAAAAGUGUUGACAAGUAUAUCUUUGAGACUUUUUCGUCUUUGUUCACCUAACAUGCCAUACUAGCUAUAUAUAGUAUUCCAAAAUUUUGAAGAAAUAGGGUAAUCAGAAAACAAUUCUUAACCUGACAGGACUCCUCUCAUUUAAUUCGAAUAUCAUAAUACCUUUAGCCGUAUGAAUUUUGUUCAUUGUUAAAGGCCGUACACGUAGCCUCGAGUUAGUAACAUUAUCGUCAUUUGCAGAUUUAUACCAGGAACAUAGAUAUAAUGUUCCCAUGUUAUAUCAACACUUGGCAAACUUGGCCUUGAAAAAAAACGGGUAUUGUAUUAUUGGAUUAGUCUACAUUGUGAAAUGUUGUCCGCGUCACCAUUGACAUCAAUAUUGGAAAUUUCCACACAGGAAAUGACAUUAUGACAUUAUGAACACCUUAUUAAAGUUUACACAUACACUCCUAAUGAUGUGAUAAUUUUACUUGUCAUGAUGUAUUGAGUAAGACAAUGUGUUAUAUCUUAUAGACAGGGUCUCGAGACAUGGUCUGUAUGCAUGAUAAAUCUUACGUAGAGACAUCAAAAGAAAAG